rnacentral:rRNA from 1 species
GUGGGGAAUAUUGGACAAUGGGGGGAACCCUGAUCCAGCCAUGCCGCGUGUGUGAAGAAGGCCUUUUGGUUGUAAAGCACUUUAAGCGAGGAGGAGGCUACCGAGAUUAAUACUCUUGGAUAGUGGACGUUACUCGCAGAAUAAGCACCGGCUAACUCUGUGCCAGCAGCCGCGGUAAUACAGAGGGUGCAAGCGUUAAUCGGAUUUACUGGGCGUAAAGUGCGCGUAGGUGGCCAAUUAAGUCAAAUGUGAAAUCCCCGAGCUUAACUUGGGAAUUGCAUUCGAUACUGGUUGGCUAGAGUAUGGGAGAGGAUGGUAGAAUUCCAGGUGUAGCGGUGAAAUGCGUAGAGAUCUGGAGGAAUACCGAUGGCGAAGGCAGCCAUCUGGCCUAAUACUGACACUGAGAUGCGAAAGCAUGGGGAGCAAACAGGAUUAGAUACCCUGGUAGUCC